rnacentral:rRNA from 1 species
GAGGGCAAGUCUGGUGCCAGCAGCCGCGGUAAUUCCAGCACCAAUAGCGUAUAUUAAAAUUGUUGCAGUUAAAAAGCUCGUAGUUGAAUUUCUGCUGCAUCGCCUUUUCUCCUUUACGAGUUUUGGCAUUGUGGCUUAUUUCGGAUUUACUUGCAUUUCCGAAUGUUUACUUUGAGAAAAUUAGAGUGCUCAAAGCAGGCUUUUGCCUUGAAUAGUUUAGCAUGGAAUAAUAAAGUAGGACUUUGGUUCUAUUUUGUUGGUUUUAGGUACCAAAGUAAUGGUUAAUAGGAACAGUUGGGGGCAUUCGUAUUUAACUGUCAGAGGUGAAAUUCUUAGAUUUGUUAAAGACGAACUACUGCGAAAGCAUUUGCCAAGGAUGUUUUCAUUAAUCAAGAACGAAAGUUAGGGGAUCGAAGACGAUCAGAUACCGUCGUAGUCCUAACCAUAAACUAUGCCGACUAGAGAUUGGAGGUCGUCAGUUUUUACGACUCCUUCAGCACCUUGAGAG